GAAUUAAUAAGUUUAGCUUAAAAUAACCUAAGAUCAUGAGAAUCCUGACAGACUCUGGAUAGGACUAAGUAAUAUAUUGGCAAAAAAAUAUUGCUACAUGGGAUGCUAAGAUUUAGUCAACAUUUAAGUUAGUUAAACAUUCUUAGCUUUUUUCUCUCAAGGGUUACGAGGGCUACUUCUCCAAAUUAUAUAGUUUUUAGAUUUAAGUACAAAGGAAAUUCCAUAUAAAAUAUUUUAUCUCUAAAAUGUAGAUUAUGCCUAAAUAGAUAACUAGGUCCUAUUCCCCUGACUCAACAAAAGAUAUUUCAAAGACUUGUAUUGUUAAUGGAUUGACUGAUAUUGUUUAUCAAUGCCAAUAAGAGUGGAAAGGCUUUAACAUCUCUCAUUUAUAUGACUAGCUUCCAUAACCAUGUUGUCAUUGGAACAUAUGAAUAAUUCUACUCUUUAUUGUGACAUAGUCAAAAUUGUUAACAGGUUCUUGUCUUAUGAUAUAUAUUCAGAAGCUUUAAAGUUUGUUAAUGAUUUGGGGGAUAUUUUCUCUGCUUACUUUUUCUUUUACUUUGAUCAUGCUCACUUAUAAGUAUACAUCAUUCUUCCAUUUUUUUUUUUUUUUUCAGGAAACCUGGCGCACUAUUUCCUAAGCUAGCCCUAUUGAAGAGUAAUUUAAAAGAUUCCUGGGCACUAACUACCAGUUUACUUAAAAUACUUAUUUUUGAAAUUUUAAACAUAUAGAAAUGGAAUACCCACACCCAUUUUACUGUGGCAUUGUAUGACAAUAUGUUUAAGUGAUGCUUUGUGAAAUGUAGUAACAAUCAAGUCCAAAUAGGAUUCUCCAAAACAGAGAAGAAAAAUUAGUGAGGUCAAUAUUAUGGAGGAUUAUAAAAUUACAGAAUAUAACUUUAAUUAAAUGAUACUUGAUUCUACCUCCUUUCCAAGGCAAUUUCCAACUUUGGAAAUAUAACUCAGAGCAGUACUAUUAAAAUGAAUCUAUGAACAGAUUUUCUUAAAGUCACUCAAAUAAUUUUCCCCACAAAAAUCUUUAGUUGUUUAGAAAUAUUAUAGUUGGGAGAAUUUUAAUUUAUCAUAUUUACUAGUUAUUUUUUAUUCUCCAAUGCUACUUGCCUUUCAUCAUUUUUAAAUUUCCCCUAGAAAACCUGACUUAAACACUUAAAAGCUGAACUCAGAACCAUUUGAGUAUUUCCAUUUGAUCUUAU